rnacentral:rRNA from 1 species
UGGGGGAAUAUUGGACAAUGGGCGAAAGCCUGAUCCAGCCAUGCCGCGUGUGUGAAGAAGGUCUUAGGAUUGUAAAGCACUUUAAGUUGGGAGGAAGGGCAGUAAGCUAAUACCUUGCUGUUUUGACGUUACCGACAGAAUAAGCACCGGCUAACUCUGUG